rnacentral:rRNA from 1 species
AUUGAACGCUGGCGGCAUGCCUUACACAUGCAAGUCGAACGGCAGCGGGGGAGAAGCUUGCUUUUCCUGCCGGCGAGUGGCGAACGGGUGAGUAAUACAUCGGAACGUGCCCUGUAGUGGGGGAUAACUAGUCGAAAGAUUAGCUAAUACCGCAUACGACCUGAGGGUGAAAGUGGGGGACCGCAAGGCCUCAUGCUAUAGGAGCGGCCGAUGUCUGAUUAGCUAGUUGGUGGGGUAAAGGCCUACCAAGGCGACGAUCAGUAGCUGGUCUGAGAGGACGAUCAGCCACACUGGGACUGAGACACGGCCCAGACUCCUACGGGAGGCAGCAGUGGGGAAUUUUGGACAAUGGGCGAAAGCCUGAUCCAGCAAUGCCGCGUGUGUGAAGAAGGCCUUCGGGUUGUAAAGCACUUUUGUCCGGAAAGAAAUGGCUCUGGUUAAUACCUGGGGUCGAUGACGGUACCGGAAGAAUAAGGACCGGCUAACUACGUGCCAGCCGCCGCGGUAACAC